UAAUAGGCCUCAAAUCAGACAUGAUCACCCGCCGAACUUAAGCAUAUCAGUAAGCGGAGGAAAAGAAACUAACAAGGAUUUCCCUAGUAAUGGCGAAUGAACAGGAAUCAGCUCAAAUUUUAAAUCUCGCAAGAGAAUUGUAGUUUAUAGAAAAUUUUAUAAAUUUUUCUUCACCCCUCAAGUUCUUUGGAAAAAGACAUCGUAGAGGGUGACAAUCCCGUUGUGGGUUGGAAAAAGAUUUGCAAUAUUUUUUCGACGAGUCGAGUUGUUUGGGAUUGCAGCUCUAAAUGGGUGGUAAAUUUCAUCUAAAGCUAAAUAUUGGCAAGAGACCGAUAGCGAACAAGUACCGCGAGGGGAAGAUGAAAAGAACUUUGAAAAGAGAGUUAAAAGUAUGUGAAAUUGUUAAAAAGGAAGCGAUUAAAAUUAGUGACUGUCAAGAACUGUUGGAGCUGUUGGAUAAUGCUAGUAAUUGGACCACAAUGUUGGUUAGAUUAUUUGAUGAACAAUGGCUUUGACAAUAAAUGUUGAUGGAUAAAAGUUUUUUACUAGUCCAAUACUCGAUCUUGACGAAAUAAUUUUAAACGACCCGUCUUGAAACACGGACCAAGGAGUCCAACACAUGUGCGAGUAUUAGAGUGUUAAACUUUGAUGCGUAAUGAAAAUGAUAUUCGUGUGAAAUGUUAUAUGCAUUGCAACAUGAACCGGUACAGAUAUUUUUAAUUGACGUUGCCGAGUUUGAGCACAUUUGUUGGGACCCGAAAGAUGGUGAACUAUGCCUGAAUAGGGUAAAGCCAGAGGAAACUCUGGUGGAGGCUCGUAGAGGUUCUGACGUGCAAAUCGAUCUUCAAAUUUGGGUAUAGGGGCGAAAGACUAAUCGAACCAUCUAGUAGCUGGGUUCCCCUCUGAAGUUUCCCUCAGGAUAGCUGGAACUCGUAAAUAG
rnacentral:rRNA from 1 species